AGUCAAUAGAUACCCCGGUAGUCCACGCCGUAAACGAUGAAUACUAGGUGUAGGAGGUAUCGACUCCUUCUGUGCCGCAGUUAAACACAAUAAGUAUUCCGCCUGGGGAGUACGGUCGCAAGAUUAAAACUCAAAGGAAUUGACGGGGGCCCGGCACAAGCAGCGGAGCAUGUGGUUUAAUUCGAAGCAACGCGAAGAACCUUACCCAGACUUGACAUCUCCUGAAUUAAUCGUAAUUGAUGAAAUCCCUUCGGGGUACAGGAAGACAGGUGGUGCAUGGUUGUCGUCAGCUCGUGUCGUGAGAUGUUGGGUUAAGUCCCGCAACGAGCGCAACCCUUAUCAUUAGUUGCUAACAUUAAGUUGAGCACUCUAGUGAGACUGCCCGGGUUAACCGGGUACGGAAGGUGGGGUAUGACGUCAAAUCAUCAUGCCCCUUAUGUCUGGGGUCUACACACGUGCUACAAUGGUGGGAACCAAAGGAGAUGCAAGACCCGCGAGGUUGGAGCCAAACUCAAAAACCCCG
rnacentral:rRNA from 1 species